CCCCUCUCAGGGUCACACCUGGAGAAUUUACAGUACUCUACCAGUUUUGACUACAGGAGGGAGAGUCAGGCAGAGACCUAUCCAUUCCAUUCCUAGGUUGGGCAGUGACUAGUGAGUGAAAGACCAUCUGCUACAAGU
rfam:Ornithorhynchus anatinus chromosome 4, whole genome shotgun sequence.